UUUCAUCAUAAAUAUCCUCUGCUUUUAUAAACGUAUAAUGCGAAGCAAAUCUAGCUGGGUGUAAGCAGUAACCCAGAAUCAAAACUAUGACUAGCCUGAGAGACAAAAUUGAGGUCAACAGUCUAGAAAGUAAACGCUGGACGAGUGAUACACGUUGACGUAAUGAAUACAAUGACGAGCCAACUGAAAUAUGAAAAACAGAUACUUGUUAAGUAUCAAGGCCGAGUACAACUUGCAGUAUCGUGGCUAAUAGCCAAAUGAACCAAAUUCAAUCGAAGAAUCACGAGAUAAACGACGACAUAACAGCGCAAGCAACCUCUCGUUGUGACAGGUGGGCCACGACUGAACGCACAAGCUCCGCGAAGUUCGUUUAUUAAUGUGUGUAAAAAAGUCGUGCCGAUUCGAGAGGUCGAAUUUUUUACAUUUACCAGACUUACAAU